GGAGGUGGCGAGCGUUGUUCGGAUUUACUGGGCGUAAAGCGUGCGUAGGUGGUGGCGUGUGUCGGAUGUGAAAUCCCGGGGGGCUCAACUCCGGAACUGCAUUCGAAACUGCGCCGCUUGAGUGCAGGAGAGGAGAGCGGAAUUCUUGGUGUAGCGGUGAAAUGCGUUGAUAUCAAGAAGAACACCGGUGGCGAAGGCGGCUCUCUGGAAUGCAACUGACACUGAGGCACGAAAGCUGGGGGAGCAAACAGGAUUAGAUACCCUGGUAGUCCCAGCCGUAAACUGUGCGCACUUGGUGUGGGCGGUAUUGACCCCGCCCGUGCCGGAGCUAACGCGUUAAGUGCGCCGCCUGGGGAGUACGGCCGCAAGGUUA
rnacentral:rRNA from 1 species